CUACGGGGCGCAGCAGUGGGGAAUAUUGCGCAAUGGGCGAAAGCCUGACGCAGCAACGCCGUGUGAGGGAUGAAGGCUUUCGGGUCGUAAACCUCUGUCGGAAGGGAAGAACGGGCAUUGGUCUAAUAGGCCUUUGUUUUGACGGUACCUUUAGAGGAAGCACCGGCUAACUCCGUGCCAGCAGCCGCGGUAAUACGGAGGGUGCAAGCGUUAUUCGGAAUUACUGGGCGUAAAGCGCACGUAGGCGGCCUUGUAAGUCAGGGGUGAAAUCCCACGGCUCAACCGUGGAACUGCCUUUGAAACUGCAGGGCUUGAAUCCUGGAGAGGGUGGCGGAAUUCCUGGUGUAGGAGUGAAAUCCGUAGAUAUCAGGAGGAACACCGGUGGCGAAGGCGGCCACCUGGACAGGCAUUGACGCUGAGGUGCGAAAGUGUGGGGAGCAAACAGGAUUAGAUACCCUAGUAGUC
rnacentral:rRNA from 1 species